GGCGUUUUUCGAGUUAUAAUACAUCCUUGAGGCCUCAAACAUCUGACAAUGAUGGUACUGUGCGUCAAAUUGCUGCUCCAACUUGAAAAUGAGGCUAAAAUGAGACGUUCCGAGGAUAUUAUACAACGAAGUGCAUCUGAUAUCCCUUUGAAAAAGAGGAGGCUUCUGCAGUAUAAGGAAAGCAAAUAUUUGGAUGCACCAACUGCCCAACAUGUCCAGACCAGGGGAGCCAAAACUGAGAGCCUAAACGUGGAGGUUACAAGAAGACCAGAUUCUUACAGAAGAAGUUGGUUCAAGGAACUACCUUGGGAGAAAAGUGUACAAAGGGCAGAUGAAGUAGGCUCCCUUGAAUGCCUUGAAAAUCUGGAUCGGUCCUAUAUAUCAUCCAAAGUAGAGUGGGUUGCAUGAAGUGUUUAUUUCGAAACAAAGUAUGCAGCAUGGUCUACACAAUAUGUAGUGACUAUUUGAUGAUGAUUUUGUACAGCGUCCAAACAUGGAGCUAGAAUGGCCAAUUGCCUUGCAAUAGAAAAUAACCAUAUAUCCAUGCUAUUUUCUAAAAAAUAUUUUUCAACUUCUGCACCAUUAAAAUAAUACACGAUGAAUGGCUAAAGAUAAAUAUGGCAUGCUAAAAUUUACAAUAAUCAUAUAUCUAUGUUAUAACAUAAACUCUUUGUAUGGGUAGUAUUAUUUGCACUGUUUUAAAACCCGGCCAGGUCUGGCAGGUUUAAUUGGUUGGACUGGAAACCGGUCACUGAGCCGGGCCGGUUAGAGUAAAAAAGUGGGGGUAAGAGUUCACACAGUUUGUCCCACGGUUGGACCGGGUUACUGUAGCGAACCAUCAGUCCAACCGGCUUUAACCCAAAAGCGGGUGAACUCUUAUGCCCCUUCCCCAUUUCUAAAUUAUAAUUUUGUAAAUCCCUUUACCAUUUUCAAUCAACGAUCUAACCCCUGUCAUCUAGUGUUGCCUUGUUGAUCGACCACCGCUGCCGGGAGCUUUGCAGUCGCCGUUCGACAAGGUUUCAUUAUCUGUUAAAGUGAAGAAGAGGAACAUUACAAGCAAAUCUCUAUUAGAGUCUAGAAUCAGAACAACCAAUCUUGAUUGAGUCUUCGAUUCUGCUGUCUCGACAGAUUGUAGUUGCAUAGGAUCCGUUUGUUUGCAAUUCCGUGAAAUACAGGCUCUAAUCUAAUGUGGAUUUCUAGACAUGUAAAGAUAUGUGAUGAUAUAAUGGCGACGAGUACACAUGGAAGAUUUUGUGAAGAUGAUAGCUGUUUUGUUGAAGAACUGGAGCUUCCUGAAUCAAAGCCAAGAGUCGCCAGUAGCCACAUGAAUCCUACCAUAACCCGAAAGCUAUUAAUCCUUAAAUCUCUUAGAUUCUUCCCUCACCCCAACCUCUCCUAAAAUAAUGCCGUCCAUUUAGUCAUACUUAGUAUGUUUCUCCAUAGUUUAUUAGUUUCUGGAACAGGAUUGUGUUACUUUGGAUUUCAAUUCUAUUUCUUUAUCCCUUCUUUUUCAACAAAUUUAUACUUAGUAUGUUUCUCCAUAGUUUAUGUGAAUCUCAAUCUCUCAAAGUUUCUUUCUUCACGGGGAUUAAUGUUCAAGUAAUCAAUGUAAAGUAGAGAAAUUGAGGGUCCAUUAGUUACAGAUAUAGCACUGUUUGUAAUUUCUUAUAAUUCGUAUUAAUCUUAAUUUAGAAAAUUGUAGGGGAGCUACCUUGGU